rnacentral:lncRNA from 1 species
AUGAGAAAGGUGAGGUCUGGAAAUAAAAUACGGCGACGCUCUGCAGCUGAAAAUCAGGCUUGCUCUCCAUUCCUGGUGAUGCCUCUUUUCCGAUCCACAGCGACAGAUCUCCGCCUUCAUUCACAGGCACCCACACCUUUCCAUACACCAAUAAGCCAUCACCAAAAAUCUUUUUGGGAAAUCAGACCACUGAGGGUCAGCACUGAGCUCUGGCCUAGUUCCGAUCUGCAGAUGAGGUGAACAGAAUAAGCCAAUUUAUGCACUCUCUGAGCCCCUCCAACCAACAAAAGAAUACUUUGGUGAGAUUUCCAGUUAAGAUUUAGAAUGCUUAGCCAAGUUUCAAAAGUGUUUCCAAACACAGCAGUCCACUAGACUUUCCAGGGUAAGAAAUAGUUCACUGCCAUUUCUCCCACCCCAUAAAAUCAGCAGAAAUUUUGAUUACUCUGUAGGUAAAUCUUAUCCUGCUCUGGGCUACAUCCAAUAGAAAUUACAUGUGAACUAUUUCAGGUCACUAGAGCCAUUUAAAUCAUUUCUGCUUCAAGUUGAUGAAAGCAAGGUCAAGGUUUCAGUCCCCUAGUGGGUGAGGGAGCAUCUCUCUGUCCUUUGAGCUGUGUUAGACCCUCCGGAGAUCAUCCCACAGGUACCAUCAGAACCAACCUCAUUACCUGGCUUGCUUCACUCCUUGGGUGGCCCCUUUAGGGACUAGAAACACAGCAACUCAGAACCUAUUCUUCACUAGGCCCACAACUUACCUUCCUAGCCUUGUUACUGAUUGUUAAACUAUUGAUUUCAUUCUUGCCUCCGGUGUGGGUUUCUUAAACCCUUUGUCUCCCAGCCUUCUCCUGGAAAUAUAAACUGGUCCUCUCUCCUUCAAACUUUCAGAUCCCUGCACCCUGUCCCUGCCUUGCACCACCAUGACAGCACUUACCGCACCGUAAUAUGGUUGUGGGGCUGCUCUUCUGCAUCAUAGGUCCCCUGGGACACCGUGCUUUGUUCACUUUAGUGAACUCAGUACUUAGCCUAAGGCCUGACACAUGGCGGUUUCUCAAUCAAUAUUUCCUGCGUGAGUUUCCUGGCUUCUUGGCUAUAGCCGUGGAUUGCGCUUUUGAAUUGAGCUUCCAACCACACUUUCUUCUCCACAGUUGAGACCUUUUACUUAAACACUGGCCUGGACUUGCCUUCACAGCCCACCCCCGCUGCAGAGGCUUUGGAUGAAGGUAGUGUGACAUUCUGCGGCUCCCUCCUGUCCACAGCCAGGCUGUGCCACCAGUAACCCUUUCCUCUAUCCCAAGUGAGAAAUAAAUGUGUCAUUGGACACA